UGGGGAAUUUUGGACAAUGGGGAAACCCUGAUCCAGCCAUUCCGCGUGAGUGAAGAAGGCCUUCGGGUUGUAAAGCUCUUUCGGCAGGAACGAAACGGUUUGGGCUAAUACCCCAGACUACUGACGGUACCUGAAGAAGAAGCACCGGCUAACUACGUGCCAGCAGCCGCGGUAAAACGUAGGAGACGAACGUUAUCCGGAGUUACUGGGCGUAAAGGGCGUGUAGGCGGUUUGUUAAGUCUGGCGUGAAAGCUCUCGGCUAAACCGGGAGAGGUCGUUGGAUACUGGCGAACUAGAGGAUGGUAGAGGCGUGUGGAAUUCCGGGUGUAGUGGUGAAAUGCGUAGAGAUCCGGAGGAACACCAGUGGCGAAGGCGACACGCUGGGCCAUACCUGACGCUAAAGCGCGACAGCAUGGGGAGCAAACGGGAUUAGAUACCCAAGUAGUCCCUGAGCGGGCUGG
rnacentral:rRNA from 1 species